rnacentral:rRNA from 1 species
UACGGGGGGGGGCAAGCGUUGUUCGGAAUUACUGGGCGUAAAGGGCUCGUAGGCGGCCAACUAAGUCAGACGUGAAAUCCCUCGGCUUAACCGGGGAACUGCGUCUGAUACUGGAUGGCUUGAGGUUGGGAGAGGGAUGCGGAAUUCCAGGUGUAGCGGUGAAGUGCGUAGAUAUCUGGAGGAACACCGGUGGCGAAGGCGGCAUCCUGGACCAAUUCUGACGCUGAGGAGCGAAAGCCAGGGGAGCAAACGGG